rnacentral:rRNA from 1 species
ACGGGUGAGUAAUGUGUGGGUAAUCUGCCUCCAAGAGGGGGACAACCUGGCGAAAGCCGGGCUAAUACCCCAUGAAGUUGCUUGGUUUUCGGACUGAGUAAUAAAAGGGUGGCCUCUAUUUAUAAGCUAUCGCUUGGAGAUGAGCUCACAUCCUAUCACGCUUGUUGGUGAGGUAAAGGCUCACCAAGGCGACGACGGGUAGCCGGCCUGAGAGGGUGUCCGGCCACACUGGAACUGAGACACGGUCCAGACUCCUACGGGAGGCAGCAGUGGGGAAUUUUUCGCAAUGGGCGCAAGCCUGACGAAGCAACGCCGCGUGGAGGAUGAAGGCCCUAGCGGUCGUAAACUCCUGUCUAGUGGGACGAAGCUUUUCAGGGUGAAUAAUCCUGGAGAUUGACUGUACUACUGGAGGAAGCUCCGGCCAACUCCGUGCCAGCAGCCGCGGUAAUACGGAGGGAGCAAGCGUUACUCGGAAUUAUUGGGCGUAAAGGGCGCGUAGGCGAUUUGACAAGUCUUGUGUGGAAGCCCCGGGCUUAACUCGGGAAGUGCACAAGAAACUGUUGAAUUUGAGUUCCGGAGAGGAA